AGGGUUUGAUCAUGGCUCAGAACGUACGCUGGCGGCACGCCUAACACAUGCAAGUCGAACGAAGUAGCAAUACUUAGUGGCAGACGGGUGAGUAACAUGUGGGUAUCUGCCCUUUGGCCUGGAAUAACACGAGGAAACUUGUGCUAAUACCGGAUAAGUCUUUACGGAGAAAGCUUUAUGCACCAUUGGAUGAGCCCGCACUUGAUUAGUUUGUUGGUGGGGUAAUGGCCUACCAAGACUGUGAUCAAUAGCUGAUUUGAGAGGAUGAUCAGCCACAUUGGGACUGAGACACGGCCCAAACUCCUACGGGAGGCAGCAGUGGGGAAUCUUGCACAAUGGAGGAAACUCUGAUGCAGCGAUGCCGCGUGAGUGAAGAAGGCCUUUGGGUUGUAAAGCUCUUUCGUCGGGGAAGAAAAUGACUGUACCCGAAUAAGAAGGUCCGGCUAACUUCGUGCCAGCAGCCGCGGUAAUACGAAGGGACCUAGCGUAGUUCGGAAUUACUGGGCUUAAAGAGUUCGUAGGUGGUUGAAAAAGUUGGUGGUGAAAUCCCAGAGCUUAACUCUGGAACUGCCAUCAAAACUUUUCAGCUAGAGUAUGAUAGAGGAAAGCAGAAUUUCUAGUGUAGAGGUGAAAUUCGUAGAUAUUAGAAAGAAUACCAAUUGCGAAGGCAGCUUUCUGGAUCAUUACUGACACUGAGGAACGAAAGCAUGGGUAGCGAAGAGGAUUAGAUACCCUCGUAGUCCAUGCCGUAAACGAUGUGUGUUAGACGUUGGAAAUUUAUUUUCAGUGUCGCAGCGAAAGCGAUAAACACACCGCCUGGGGAGUACGACCGCAAGGUUAAAACUCAAAUGAAUUGACGGGGACCCGCACAAGUAGUGGAGCAUGUGGUUUAAUUCGAAGAUACGCGCAGAACCUUACCAACACUUGACAUGUUCGUCGCGACUUUAAGAGAUUAAAGUUUUCGGUUCGGCCGGACGAAACACAGGUGCUGCAUGGCUGUCGUCAGCUCGUGUCGUGAGAUGUUGGGUUAAGUCCCGCAACGAGCGCAACCCUCACUUUUAGUUGCCAUCAUUUAGUUGGGCACUCUGAAAGAACUGCCAGUGAUAAGCUGGAGGAAGGUGGGGAUGACGUCAAGUCCUCAUGGCCCUUACGUGUUGGGCUACACACGUGCUACAAUGGUAUCUACAACAGGAAGCAAAACGGCGACGUUAAGCAAAUCCUUAAAAGAUACCUCAGUUCGGAUUGCACUCUGCAACUCGAGUGCAUGAAGCUGGAAUUACUAGUAAUCGUGGAUCAGCGUGCCACGGUGAAUGCGUUCCCGGGUCUUGUACACACCGCCCGUCACACCAUGGGAGUUGGUUCUACCUUAAGGCAAGGUUUAAAACCCUUGACCACGGUAUAGUCAGCGACUGGGGUGAAGUCGUAACAAGGUAACCGUA
rnacentral:rRNA from 1 species